rnacentral:rRNA from 1 species
UACAGAGGGUGCGAGCGUUAAUCGGAAUUACUGGGCGUAAAGCGCACGCAGGUGGCUGAGUCAGUCGAUUGUGAAAGCCCUGGGCUUAACCUGGGAAUUGCAUUCGAUACUGGCAAGCUAGAGUACGGUAGAGGGCGGCGGAAUUCCGGGUGUAGCGGUGAAAUGCGUAGAUAUCCGGAGGAACACCGAUGGCGAAGGCAACCGCCUGGGCCUGUACUGACGCUGAGACACGAAAGCGUGGGGAGCAAACAGG